GGGGAUGUAACUCAGUAGUAGAGUGAUUGCUUAGCAUGCCUGAGUCCCUGGGUUUAAUACCCAGCACCCCCA
rnacentral:tRNA from 1 species